UCUUUUUUAUUUCUGAUUUUAAUAAUUUGAUUCCUCUUUUAUUCUUCAACCUCAGUAAAUGUUCAUUAAUUUUAUUUAUGUUUUUCAAAUAAGUAACUUUUGAUUUCAUCAAUGUUUGCUAUUUAUUAUUUCAUUUAUUUUUGCUCUAAUAUUUAUAAUUAUAUUUAUUCUGCUUGCUUUGGUUUUAGUUUAUUCUUUGGUAGUUUUGUAAGAUAGAAGUUUAGAUUGUUAGUUUGAGAUCUUCCUUCUUUUUAUAAAUAAGCAUUACAGCUACAAAUUUCUCUCUGAUUACUGCUUAAGGUGCACCUAAUAAGUUUUGGUAUGUUGUGUUUUUUGUCUCAUUAAUCUCAGAUAAUUUUCUCAUUUGCCUUGUAUAUUUUAAAACCAUUUGUUAUUUAAAAGUAUUUAGAUUACUUUUAACAUAUUUGUGUUUUUCAAAUUUAUUUGUUGUUGUGACUUUUAAAUGUAUUCUGUGGUAGUCAAAGAACAUCCUUUGUAUGAUUUAAAAGCAUUUCAAUUUAUUGAGUUUUCUUAAUGGCCUCUUAACAUACAUUUUAUCAUCGAAAUUUUUUCCUGUAUACUUGAGAAGAAUAUAUGCUCUGCUAUUUUUUAGAGUUUUCUGUAGAUAUGUUACAUCUAGUUAGUUUAUAUUGUUGUUCAAGUCUUCAUCCAUUAUUGAAUGCAGGUUAUUGAUGUUUCCAAUUAUUACUGUUAAAUGUUUAUUUCUCCUUUCAACUUAUGUAUUUUACUUCAUGUUUUUGGAGGCUCUGUUGUUACGUGCAUUUAUGUUUUUAUUGUUUGUCUUCCAGAUGAAUUGACCCUUUUAUCAUUAUGUCUUUUUUUGAUUCAAGUAACAAAUCUUGUCUUAAAGCCCAUUUUGUCUGAUACUAGUAUAGCCACUCUAGUUCUCUUUUGGAUACUGUUUGUGUGGUAUAUAAUUUUAUAUCUUUUCACUUUGGACUUACUUAUAUCUUUGAAUCUAGCAUGUCUAUUGUAGGUGGCAUAUGAUUGAAUUGUGUUUGCUUCAUUCUACAUUCUCUGUCUUUUGACUGGAGAGAGAUAUACAUUUUUAUUAGAGAAAUGAUAUAGUCAUUAUUUGAUAAAUUGUACAUUCAUUGCUUAGUACGAAUUAGUUGAUAAGAAUUAACACACUUAUAUUCAUUUUAUAAUUGAUGAAUUGCAUUACUUGUGUUAGAUCUAUAUUGUUUGAUAUCCUUUUAUAAUCUGUCUUAUAGGAUUCAUUUUGUAACUUAUUUCUCAAUGUUUGUGGGUCUUGGUUUUUUUAUUUUUGAGAUGGAGUCUCUCUCUGUUGCCCAGGCUGGAGGGCAGUGGUGUGAUCUCAGCUCACUGCAACCUCUGCCCGCUAGGUUCAAGCAGUUCUCCUGCCUCAGCCUCUCACGUAGCUGGGAUUAUAGGCACCCACCACCAUGACCAACGAAUUUUUGUAUUUUUAGUAGAGACAGGGUUUCACUGUGUUGGUCAGGCUGGUCUCAAACUCCUGACCUCAAGUGAUACAACUGCUUCAGCCUCCCAAAGUGUUGGAAUUACAGGCGUGAGCCACCAUGCCCAGCCUCAAUGUUUUAAUAAUAUUUUUUUCCAAUGCAAAUUAACACAUUUGUUUGAAUUGAAAAAUAAAGGUAGAAUUUUUCUGGAAGGAAAGUACAAUUUGGCUUACUGAUUUGCCAAGUAUAUGUAGUACACAUGUUCCUUUAAUUGAGCUAAAUAUGAAGCACCACAGUUUUGAUUUUAUAUGAAUGUAUCAAAUUCAAGGGCAAAGUAUAAUGCAAAUGUGAGUUCAAAGAGAAAAAAAAUUUAAAAUUUUUAAAUUAAAAAAUCUUUCUCAUAAAAAAGAGUCAUGGGUAUCAAAUUGUUAUGAUUUUCAGAUUUCAUUGAAUACAUUAAAAAUAAUAGUAAUUUAAAGUGAUAAAAUCAAAUAUAUAUUGAAAUUUCAUCCUUUGCAAUAAUUAUUUCAACUUAUAAUAUUUUUAGAGGACUUAAGAUGUAUAAGACAUUUAAAACUUUCAAAUAUGCAAGCUAUUUUUUGAAAAAUACACUUUCUUUAUGUAAUUCUUAAGGGAAAACGUUUGAAAAAUAGAUUAGAGAAGAAAAAUCCUUCAGACUCAUAGUCUCUGGUUGCCUUAGUUACUACUGUAUUCCCAGUACCAAUCACAGCCUUGUGACUGAAUGAGUGAAUUGUGUUAAGUGCCCUGAAUGGUAUCAUUGAAAAUUACUUGCUACCUAAAAAAAAAGGACAACCCAGGAGGCUGAUGUUUUCCUAUCUAGGUUAGGUAAUUACUUAGUAGGUAGAGAGCUGGGUCUUGAUGUAAAUGGGGAAAGGAAAGCAAUCCCUGCAAUCCUGACUGUCUUCCAGACAGCCCUGGAUGGCUACGUUUACCUUUGGCAGACCCCAAAUAAUGAGAGUAAGAUUAAGACCUAGACUUAAGAUAGCUCAACAAAGUGGUAAGAUCCAGACAUGCAUUCCUUGGAGCAUCUACUUCUUGUCUGGCACUCUGUGAGGCUCUGGGCAUGGAAAGAUGAAGAUGACAAGGUACAUGGGCAAUAUGCUUAAAAAAGAGGUCUGAUGAAAUGGGAUAAAUGCCGUAAGAGGAACAUUUCAUGUUAUAGGUUCGAGUACUGGAAACUACAGUUAUUUGACCAUUUUUGACCUACCCAAAACUGGUAACACACAUGGUUCAACCUACAUGUUAUAUGCAAAUCCAGGUGAAAAAACAAUAAAUCUUGAGGGAUUUUUUUAAUCAGGGAAAAUUAUGUGCAGUUGGUGGCAUUUGAGCUGUACAUUGAAGGAUAAGGGAGAAGAUGAGUGGUUGGAUAGGUAGCAGGUGGGGCAUUUGAAAGAGCAUAAUCAACAAAAGCAAAAGUGGAGAGUAAUGGAAGGUUCAGAUACCAUCUGGAAAGGGACACAGAGCAUUCUUUGCAUUGAGAUCUGGAAAGUGAGGAUAAGAGUAAAAAGGAACCUCAGACUUAUGUUAAGAGUGCUGCCAGCCUGAUAAGACACUGUUCUGCCAGCAAUGGCAAACCAUCAAGACUUUUCUUAGAGGGAGUAUUGUUAGCAGAUAAAAAUUUUAGAACCCCCCAUUUGUCUGAAUGGGGAUUGGGUUGCAGAUAAGGAGAUUGAAGAGAGAUACUGAGAUACUUAGGAGGCAGCUGCAAUCAUUGAGGUAAAUAUAGUAGAUGUGUACAGGGGUUGAGGAGUGGGCAUGUUUCUAUGACAUAAUUGUCAUAGUUUGACCAAUUAUUAGGUUUGAGGGGUUAGUCGAAAGAGGUACAGGUUCAGGAGUGGGGGUAAAGAGUAAACUAAGUAGACAUAUCAAAGAGUAAGAGUAGAGAGUUCUGGGCUAUGGUUCUUGGUUUUUGUUGGUGUGCAUUUGAUAGCUGAAGCCAUGAAAGUGUAUGGGAUUAUCAGGCAAACUUACCUAGGGAGAGCAGGGAAACAGAAUAUGGGCAAAAGGGCAGAGGAGGGAGCUAGGGAUGAAUCUGUACCUUGUACUUUGCCUCAUUAUAUCUUUGUCAUAGCACUUGUUUACCUGAGUGUCUACUGUUUGCAAGUUUGUGAGAUCUCCAAAGAUGGGUAGGAACCAUCUUAUCCAUUCUUUGGAAUCCUCAAAGCUCCACUAUACUCAAAAGGUAGCCACUUAAAGAAGUACUCACUGGAUCAUACCCUUAUUUUCUAGGUUCUAGGCAUUGUUCUAAGUGCUACAUAGGUGCCAUUCCAUUUCACAUUUAAUAAUAGCUUUAUAAAUAGAUGCUAUUGUUAGCCCUAUUUUACAGAUGAGGAAACUAAAGCAUGAACUCAUUCAAGGACACAAUUGAAGAGUGAGAGCCUGGAUUUAAACUCAGACAGUCUAAAGCCAGAGGCCACUGAGUACUAAAGCCUAUGCUAUGGAAUGAGUGGGAUCAGAAGGACUUCUCUUUAGUAAAACUUUGCAGCUUAGAAUCACUUUCAUAAACAAUUCUAGUAUCCUCACAGUAAUUUGGUAAGAUGGAAGGAGGAGGCAAUACUAUUAUCUACAUUUGAUUUGUGAGUAAAUGAAAGCUAAAGUUAAGUAUAUUUGUGAAGAUACACAGUAAGUGGCAAAACCACUCCUAUCUUAUGAAUUACAUUCCUGUAUUCUGUUCACUCCAUCUUGUUAACUGGGAAUCCAAUUGUCUCCCCUGUCGCUCAACAAGGUAGAAUGUCUGGACUGGUAGCUGGAAGCUGGAGGAAGAAUCUGAAGAGAGACACUGCGGAAAAGGCACAGAAAGACCUUUGAACUAGCAGUACAUAUUUCUUUGAGGGACUUAGGAACUUUAUUCUGGUAGAGACUAUAAGAUGUCAAACUUGUGAAUUCUAACAUAGUCUCUUUUAUUAAUAAUCGAGAAUGCUUGAAAUUUAGGUACAAACUAUGUAUUAAAAUGGCUGGUUUGUUGGUUGUAAAUGUAAACAGAGAUAAUUUAUUAACUUGUUAUUUAUUCAUCCUUGUUGAGGACAUACUGUAAUUUUUCCUUAGGCGUAACAUCAGUGGUCCUCGUACUGUCUAAAGGCUUCAGGGGUCCCUGUACUGUCUAAAGGCUUCAGUCUCUUUGGAGCCUUCUGUAGUUCAUUUGCUGAGGAGGAUAAGAUUCACCCUCUUCAUUGGAGGGUGAUGGAUUUUCAACUUCUAUAGGCAUUAUUUUACCCAAUUCUCUACCACAUAUGGAUUUUUUGAGGGGGGGGAUGGCUAGUCUUUUAACUAGGAGCAACUCACGAAAGAUUUCAAAGGAACUAAAAAUGAGAUUGAUAAUAAGCUUUAUACUUGUGUUCAGCUCAUUUUAGUUCAGAAAAAAAAAAUGUUUCUGUACAUCUGACAGAUAUUGCCUUAUUUGAAAUUUCUAAAUCUUAGGCAAGAUUGUCCUGCCAUUUCUCUGCCGUUACACAAGAUUGGUUAUCUUGCCAAGUUUCACUAUUGCUAAUAUAGACUCUGAAGCAACAAAUAUUACAGUGUAUUUAUAGAAGAGAAAUAUCCUGUUUUGUAAGUUAAAUGUAGCCUUGUUUAUUCAUGUAAAUGGUGGAAGUAUAUUCUCUCUAUGGCCAAUAUGUUUAGGCCCUUAACUUAUAAAAUAAGCAAUGUUAUGGAAAUUAAAACAGAGGUACCUAUAUUCUUCUUGUUUAGGAAAGGAUGAAAGAAAGGAAGAAAAUUCAGUAAUUCUUUCCUAUAAUACUCACUUUUAUAAUAACUAUUAACAAUUUAUAAUAUAAAAUAUUAAGAUUUAUAUAGUUCUGUGUGCAAGGCGUUAUUUUGAACAUUCGGUCCUCUUUUCAAGUCCAUGAGAAGUAUUACCAUUGCCUUCAUUACAAAGGCGAGUGAACUAAGUCACAGAGGUGUUAGGCAGCUUGCCUGAAACCACAGAGCCAGUAGUAGAAACACUAUCCCAGAGUUCUUGCUCUUAAUUUACAGUGCUGAAAUUGUUGUGGGUUUCAUGAUUUUGUCUCCUCUAAACUGGAGAAGACUUCCAAGAGGUGGUGACAGUUUAGAAGAUCUUUGUUUUUUUGUGAGGAUAUGUGGUAUUUGGUUUUCAUAUUUGUUUUUUUUUGUUUGUUUGUUUUUGAGACAGGUCUUCCUCUGUCACCCAGGAUGGACUGCAGUGCCGUAAUCUCAGCUCACAGUAGUAGCCUCUGCCUUCCAUGCUCAAGUGAUCUGUCACCUCAGUCUCCUAAGUGAAAAUCUUUGAAAGAUGGGAGUUAAUCUAUAAAAAUGGAAAGCUAGAGAAUUUCAGUGUUUGAAAGUAAACUUCUGAUUCUUACUGAAAUCCAGAACAGUUUUUCUCCAUGAAGCAGAGAUGAGAUGCUGCAUUAAGUUUAUGAGAAACUGAUUGCUGAGUGCUAGUGUGGUUUUUCUGUUGAUCUUAUUGAAACCAGGGGCCACAGACUUUCAUUUAUACAUUCAUGUGCAUUGUUAGUGUCCCUCCUCUAGGUCAUACACUCUACAGAUGGAUGUUGUUCCUUCUUUCUUCCUUCCCUCCCUUCCUUCCAUUCUCUAAGUCAAUGAAAUCAGUUAAAUGAGCGAGGCUUUGUGCCAGGGGCUGAUAAGUAGAUAAAUAAAUAAAUAAGACAAGUGCUCUGGUCUUUACAGAUGGUUAAUGAUGGUUUUAAAUGGCCCACUGUUCAUGUUGUAAGGAGGUAAAAAAGAGGGAAUUGUUACUUCAACCUGGGGUGUUGGGGAAAGCCUUCAAUGAAAGAGGUUAGUACUUGAGUUGAAUCUUAAAAGAUGUCUAGGUUGAGGGUGAGAUGGUCAGAGGGAAAUGGGAAGAACAUUCUAGGAAGAGGAAUCAGCAAGAUUAGUCAAGCCUUGGAGGCGACAAAUAGUAGGACAUGUUAUAGAAAGGGAGGAGGGCAUUGCCUAGAGGGAGCAAAGGGGUGAGGUGAGGCCGUUUGAGCAAGGCUGGAGAAGUAGGGAAAGUCAAGUCAGUUGAGACAGAGGUAUUCAUCACUGAAAAUCCACUUCCCGGACCUACAUCCAACAUAGAACCUUUAUAUGGUUAUCAUGAUUUGAACAUUCCCAGCAGUUUGUCAUGUAGUUUCUGAGAUUCAGGGCUUCAGGGAUGCUAGAUACUUUUAUUAACAUAUUCUAUGGUGUUUUAUAUAGGUCCUGGCAAGAUUAACGUAUUGUUUUCUAUGAUAACAGAUAGCUAAUAUGAAAUGAGGAUCAAUUUGGUCUUUCAUAUAAGGCCUAGAGAAUGUUUUUUCACAAUUACCCCAGACCUAGAAGGUCUUUGUCUACCCAGCAGCUAGUGUUGCAUCAAAUUCAUCAUUUGUUUUCUUAAAGUCAUCCAGUGGGUUCCUUGCCCUAGCCUACAAGGCCGUGUAUGUUCUACCAUCAGCUCAUACCACUCAACCCCUCACACAUGCUCAACUACCCUGGUCAUUUAGUUCUUCAAACCCUCGAAGCUUUGUUCUGACUUAGAGUUUCUGUGCUUGCUGCUGCCUUGGCCCAGCUGACUCUUCUCCCAACUGCAUGGCUGUUUCAUCUAAGAUAUAUUUCCUCCUAGAGACCUUCAUGGGCUGUCCUCUCUGAAGUAUCCUCCUUCUCAGGACAUCGUUUAUUUCCUUAGGCGCAUUUAUCACCAAUAUACAAAAUGGUGGAGAGCUAAAAGCAUUCUCAGCCAAAGAGUGCAGCUAUAAAGGCAUGGAAAUGGAGACAGUAUGGUGGCUUGGAGUAAAAUCAAUGUGUUUGCUUCCCCCUUCCUUCUGCUAUGAUUGUAAGUUUCCUGAGGUCUUCAAGUCAUGCGUCCUGUACAGCCUGUGGAAUUAGUCAACUAAAACACAACCAUUGAGGUCCGCAAUUAUGGAACAGGCAUGGCUGAAAAAGUAGAUACAUCAUCACGUUUUGGAUCCAGAAGAAAUUAUUCAAUUGGAGUAACCACCUCAUUUUGUAGAGGCAGACAUGUUUUUCUUUUGGGAAUAACAGUCCCUUCCUCUGGGAAUUAUGACUUCCCUCAUCCUUCUUCUGAGAGCAGCCAAGUUAAUGGGAACUCAUCUUCUGAUGCAGUGUGCUGGGUCAGGAGUGGGUCCAGACUCAAGCUGCGCUAAUCACAGUACCACAUCUCUGAGAUCAUCAAUUAUUGGUCCAGGAGUAUUCACUGGAUCUAAUCAGGGAGUCUCCCUGCAGGAGCUUUCACUUUGCCUGCUGCCAACCAUGUAAGACAAGACUUGCUCCUCCUCGACUUCUGCCAUGAUUGUGAGGCCUGCCCAGACACGUGGAACUAUGAAAACACUGAAGCACAGAGAGAUUAUGUUAACUUGCCCAGUGCCAAAGAGCUAUUAAGUGGCAGAGCUGGGAUUUACUGUCGCUGCACUGUUGCUUCUUUCAUUGGGAGCUCUUUGCUGAGAUUGCAGUAUAUAAAGGGUAAGAUGGAUACCUUCAAAUUACCAUUUCUUGCUCCACUCCUGUGAUGCAAUGAGCCAAUUCCUGAAAAUUUGCAUUGUAAAAUCAUGAAGAUACUCUAAUUUCAAUUCUGUGAACACAGACAUGAGGAGGAAAAAAAGCUGGAAAGCACAUAUGCAAAAGGUGGUCAUUGGUUAAGGUUGCAGCAUAAGAUACUCAUCCUUCAGAUGGAAAUAGUCUAGUUCUGUAAUAUAUUAGCAGAGGCUCUAUUAGGAAUUUAUAAAGCCACAUACGGACGUCUCCAGGAAUACAGGCUUUACUGGAUGUCUACUUUAUGAAGAGAGUCUCAGGAAGGGUAAGCGGCUUCUUCAAGUUCUCAUGGCCAAUGAGGUGGGAAGCUGAGAUUUUAACCAAGAUGUCUCUGUGACUUCAAUAAAUUAAGGGGAGAGAUAGAAAAUGAGGAUGAUAUUUUUAGUAUAAGUUCUUUCACUGAAUGAUGUCAGCAAGUUGAGGCAGAGCAUUGGUGGGAAUAAGACUGGGCCGAAUCUGGAUGAAUAGAGAUCCUGUCUUGUUGCCAACUCUAGGAAUGACCUGGUCAUGUAAAACCUCAAUCCAUUGAUCAUGGAUUUUCACUGGACAUGUGAACACCAGACCUACAUUACAUUUACCUCAUGCAAGGUGUUCAGAAGAAACACACUCUUUAAAUCUGGAGAUCAUAAUAGAAGAGACUCCCAGCACCUCAAUUGAACAACACAGGUUUGUUUCAUUUUAGAAUGUCAGCACGUAGCUGUCUUCUCAUCCUGCAAAGGCAGAUAUUUCAGUAGACGUGCUAAUAGCAUCUGCAAUCCAGCACAGCCAUGUGUCUUCAAUGAAGAAAAUGUGGGUGUUUACUUGAUAGAGUUUCUCAGCUCCACAGUAGGGGGAUAUUAGUUCCUCCCUAAUCUGUAUCCAAUUUUACAACUAAACUUUUACCUUGAAAAGCCCAGCAUGGGAAAAUAAAGAGAACUAUAAAAACAGUCAUAAAUAAAAGCCAGUAGCACAUUUCUAAGGCAUAGGUGCCUGCAUGUGCAAUGUUAAGUCACAUCAUCUUGUCUUUAAAAUUGUGUUGUUAAAAAAUUGUGUAAGAGGUAACAACAGGUAACAGAGCAGAAAUACUGAGAGGACGGUUGUGUAAUUAAUGAACAAAUCUCUUUUCUUGGAGGGGAUAUACUGUCUCUAUUACGUAACUCUGCCGAAGCCUCUAUAAGGGUGAUGAAGACAGUAGGGUAUGGUGGAAGGAAAAUGGGCUUGGGAACCAGGCUAUUUUUUUUUUAAUGUUCUUAAGCUCUUAGGCUAGUUGGCACUGGGUUUUUAUUACAUACAACUCUCCUUGUGGCUAUGAUAGUGGGUGUGUAGGGUAGAGGAGGGGGAAAAUAAAUUGACUACAUUCAUUUUAGCUAGAAAAAGAAAUCCAAAUUCUAAUGCCUCGGAAUAAAUUGUAUCAAUCUUUUAUAUAAUUCUAAUUGGAUACUUUUAGGCCUAUUGUCCAUAGGUGAACCGGUCCCUGAGGUCAGGGUAAUAGAGUCCAAAGUUGGCUGAAUUAUUUGUUCACUCUGGCAUCCAGGAUAAGGGAGUGGUCAGUGUUGGUGAUUCACAAUGAUUUGCUUCCCCAUUGGAAAGAUGGGCUUUGUUUUCAGAAGAAGAAGUGAGUACUGGACAGAGAAGGACAACAAAUGUCCAGCAAAUCUUUGAAACCCUAUCAGCCUUGAUGGGCAAUCUUCCCUAAAGGUACACAGCUCUGAACAUGCCAAUACUCUAUUUAAAAACCAGUAAGGUAGAGUGGAAGGCAUAGCUGAGUGAAACUGAAACCCUCUUUGUGCUGGAGGUUUCUUUCUGGAAAGCUGACAGCACACCUCUGCCCCUGUCCUAAAGGCCUGAUGUGAAAUAUUGCAACAAAGUCAAAAUCAACUGGCAGCACAGAACACCUAUGGAUGUCUUAUGGAACACAAUCACAUGACACACAUUGAAAAACUCAGGCUUAAAACAUGCUCCACUGUCCAUGGCUGAGCCAGGAUAUCACCAGCUGCAAGGAGAAUGGAAGCCUUACACAGUGGGCUAAAAGGAGAUGAUGGGUUUACAAUGUUCACAGCUUCUCUUCUCCCAUGCUUGUUUCUACCGCGGAGCCUGAGAUGAUUAGUGGCUCUUCAUUAAAGCAUGACUCUGACCCUCAACUAACAUUUAGUACCUGGGAGGAAUUUUGAAAUAGAGCAAUGAGGAAGAUGAGGGCUUGCUAUUUUGCUGGAAUGGUCUUCCAAGAGGAACACUUCCAGGAUGCUACCUUCUUUCUAAUCCAGAACUCCAGGGCAAGAUAAAAUUCCUCACCUGUUGAAUAGCUAGGGGAGCAACUAAGACUAAGAUCAAGAGUUAAAGAAGGGUGAUCUUAGGGAGAUGCUAAUAUUUUGCUGGCUUUAUGAAGGAAUCAUGAGGUUUCGGCUUUCAUGAUCUGGAACAUUCUAAAAGAAAGAAUGAAAGAGAAGGAGAAAGGAGGAGAGAGAACAGGAGUCUUGCUCUAUUGCCCAGGCUGGAAUACAAUCCAAAAACCUCCUUUAUGCCGAUAAUUGUGCUUAACAGGGGAGACAGGAAGGAACAAGGGAAGAAAAUAACAAACAAACAGCCAACCAAUAUUUCAUUUAAAUCUGUGAAAUGCUAUGCAAAUGCUGAAGAGUGAUUUACUUCCAAUUAUGUGGUCACUUUCAAAAUAGCAUUCUCUCCACAUGGGCUCAUGUUUGGGAGGCUGGAGACUAGUGAUGUCAGCCCUGAGUUUUCAUCAUGUGGCAAUCAGAGCUCUAGAAGCACAGGCCAGACUUCCAGGCUCUCCUGUUGCUCUGCCUCUGGCGUUACGUGCCUGAACUGAAUUGAAAGUAACGUGGAAUCUGACAUGCAGUACAUGUUCACUGAAGUAUUGAAUAAAGGUGACAGGAGAUAGAGGGCACUGAGACACUUCUGCUGGUUAAUUUUCUGCCCUUUCAACUGCAGUAUGGAUGUACGAGUCCUAAUAGAAGAGAUAUACUUGCAUGUCUAUGAACCAACUGCUCAUUAGCUUGCAAGGCAGCAUUAGGUGGGAAAGGCCACAAAUGGACUCAUGAGCCUCCAGGUGGUGAAGAGGAAUAAAUUUCAAAGUAUUAAGGUUCCAAAGACUCAGGAGUUGUCCGCAGCAGAAUUCUCUCCAUAAUGCUGCAUGUUAGAGAGAAUUGCCAUCUGAACCACAGACUCUCUGAAGGGCCUCAGCGAUCACCCGAUCAUCUGGUUCAGUCCCCACCAGAGCAGGAAUUCCCCCUGCAAGACCUUGGCAGAUGGUUUGUGUUUCCUCCUGAAGCUGUGCUAAUGAGGCUCCAUUGAACAACUCUGAGGUCAAGAAGUAUGGGACUGAAGUGGCUUUGGAAAAGAGGUGACCCUAAGGCAAGAUGCUCUAAGUCCUCUCACACUUGCAUAAGGGCUGCCGGAGGACGCCUUGGCUGUGUGACCGUGUCAGUGCUGUGAAAGCACCUGCUGUUUAGCCAGCUAGGAAAAGAGAUGUCCAAGAUGGCCGAGAUGUCUCCUUCCUCGGGGGAGUGAGGAGAAAACUCUGCUUCACCAAGCUCUUGUGAGAAAGAACUUCAGCCCAGUGUAGUAUGAAAUUAUCCUACUUCACAGAUAGCAUAAUGUCAUAGAGGUAAACAUCAGAUCAAACAUUUCUGUGUUUUACUUUCCUUAUUUAUAACUUUAGUGUGAUAAAUUAGAGAGGCCCUGAGUUGUUGUCUAUUUUUAAAUUCUAUGUAAUGCUGAAUUAGUGGCAUUAAAGUUGGUGAAGUUUUAUGAUAAAAAUAUGUAAAAUAGAGGAAAGAGUCAUAACCUUAUGAAAAUAGGUGAGGACUAACCACAUGAGAACAAAGGAAGGCUAUUUAUUCACGGCUUGGUAUAGGAAAGGAGUCAGCCACCAUCAUGUGUCAGACUCCAAGGCAGGCAGGGAAGUGGGAAAGAGUCAUAGUGGAGAGAAGGGAAGGCCUUAAGUGUGCCCUGGGUGAAGGCUGUUAGCCUGGGAAAUCUGAACAUGGGCUAAGUCAAAGCAGGGCAUCCCAUGUGAUCGAUUACGGGUGAAUAUUUAGUUUUCUCCGGUUUGGUCCUAAGCUGGAAGUGGGGACAACAAUUAGGAAGCUUGGCAGUUAUUAAUAAUAUCUUGGCCAUUGUGGAUUGACUGUGAUAGGGGUUAUUGAUUGGCUUCCUGGACCAAUGACUAGAGAUUAUCAGUUACUGCUAACCUGACUUCUGUAUAUCUGAUUAUAGACAGAAGACUGGCGUCCUGGCUUGGUUACUAUAGAUAAUGGAUUGGUUUUCUGGGCAGGUUGUUGACAGUUGUGGGUCAGAGUUCUACAUUUAUGUAGAGUUGGGCCAUUGUCUUUCUCGAUAGUCAGCCUCCUGUUAUACUCACUAGCUCUUGGUUAAAGUUCCCCGUAUAACUCAAUUCAAAAGUUUUGAAUUGGCCUCCUAGCACUUUGGGAGGCCAAGGCGGGUGGAUCACCAGGUCAGGAGUUCAAGACCAGACUGGCCAACAUGGUGAAACCCCAUCUCACUAAAAAAUACAAAAAUUAGCUGGGCAUGGUGGCUCGUGCUUGUAAUUCCAGUUCUUAGAAGGCUCAGGUAGGAAAAUUGCUUGAACCAGGACCUGAGAGGCAGAGGUUGCAGUGAGCCAAGAUGGUGCCACUCCACUUCAGCCUGGGCUGCAGAGUGAGACUCUAUCUCAAAAAAAAAGUUUUCCAAGUCAAGGAAACGUGUCUUGUGUUUGUGUUUCUGGUAAAUAUGACAAUAGAGGAAACCAUGGAUUUUUCUGGAAUUAUUUUCUUAUAGGCCAUCAAUGUCCCAAAUCAUGUGUUGAAUGCAAUAGUUAGCCUUUUGUGCUUCUGGGAAGGCAUCUUCUUAAACUUUAUAAGAGUUAUGAGUUCCAGAAGAACCUAAUGGGACUCCUGGAAGCUCUCAGGGCUCCAGAGGGGAACUGGAGGCUCCCCCAUGGAGUGUUUAAUUCCCUGUACUGAUUACUCUCGGGAUGUCAAUUAAGACUGGACUAGAUUGGUGUAGCAUGUCUCAGAAAUUUUGGAACAACUCUCAGGAUCUCUAUUUUAUUUUAUUUUUUAAUAAAAAGGGAAAGAAGUUCUUGCCUAGAAAUCUAUAUGUUCUGACCCAUGGCCUAAGAAGGAUUUUAUUAAAAAAUUAUUAUUAAAAACAAAAACACACACAUACAAAGAAGAACAUGAGGCAGAGACUGUAAGUGGCCCCCAGAGCCUCAUCUAUUUACCCACUUCACAGCAAACUUUUGCCAACUCCUAUCCCAGUCAAUUACUAGAGAGCCUUUGCCAGAUUUUAGAAGUAGGGUUCCCUUCACGAUUAGUAUAAUGAGUUUGAGGGUGGUGCCUUGCAAUGAGUUUGGGGAUGGUGCCUGGCAUCUCUAUACCGAAACAGUAGAGGAUAAACCAGCUUAACUUGUUGGGCUGGCCAAAUGGGGAGCAGCUGGGGGUGGUCUCAGAGGCUCUGACAUCAGCUGGCUCCUGGGAGCUGUAGAACUGAGUGUUGCAUUUUUUUCUAAACCACUGUGGCUCUUCCUAUGUGACUUCUCCCUGGGCCAGUCCUGCUUUUCCAGUUCAUCCUGCCCGAUGGCUAGAGAAGCAUCAGUAUCUUCAGCCCUUCAAAGUGUCCUCACCCAGAGCUCAGUCUAUAUGAGUAAGACUUAAAGGAUAAUUUUCCUUACCCUUUUCAUUCCUUCUGGUUCAAUUCCCAAUCUUUGGUUCAAAAUCCAGGCUGACUUACCUUUCUGGGAAAAGUGAUCAGACAUGUGGGGAUGAUAAAUAAUAGCAACUCAAAAAUACUAAGGCUUAUAGCACAGCAUUAGGUGAGCAAGUCAAAUAUGAAUGUGGGCCUAUAGCAUAGUCAUAACUACUUAAAGCAAGUGCAUAGAAAAAUAGCAAAAUAUGCACUGAAACACAAUGUCAGAGGGAGUGCCCCAAAGUUAAACUGCGGUUGCCACAAGGAACUGCAAUUGUAGGUUAUGAUUUUUCCUUCUUUUUGAUUUUCUGUGCUUUCCAAUUUUUCUAUUGAAAGUACAUAUAAUUUUCAAAUCAAAUUUUAAAAAAUAGUUUAGCCCAACACUGCUUUGGUGUUUUAGUCAGAAGAAACACGUAUAUUUUUGUGCUCAAAUGUCCUCCCGGAGCAGAUGGGGAAAAAAGAUCCCUAAAGAUGUGAUUUAGACCCAGUUUUCACAGUUAUCAGAAACAGGUCAAAAACUCAGCAAAUCUGAUGUUAAAGAGCCUUGAAUUAUUCUGGAAACUACUUCCACUCACUUUGUGGGCAAGUUUUCUUUCCUUUCUUUGAAUGUUUUAGUGUUGGAGCUACCAAGAAUUAUAGUUGUUCUAAUUCUUACUAGAUUUAAUUUUCAAAACAUGAAACUUCAAGUAGAAAUGAAAGCCCUGAAUGUAUCUGAGACUUGCUGAUGCCUCCUUUUUCACAUGGGACGAAUCCAUUGCCUCUUGUAUUUAUUUUUAUUGCAUCUAUAAAUUGAUUGGAAACAAUAAAAACCCAGAAGCCUGAAUGUCAGGAAGGAAAGCAGACGCAGUCACAACUUGUUGGUAACUCUUUGAUGUAUAUAUUUGUCCCAAGUGUGGGACAUUGGCAUCUUUUUCUGUUUCUUCACAGAGGAUGGUGUCUUCUCUAAUAGGCAGAUUUUUUGGCUUGGCAAGAGGGCAGGCCUGUGUUUUCUCAGGGCAGAGUCACCAGCUUAUGUUCAUGGUUCUUUUUUUUGUUGUCAUUUAUUUCUCCUCCCUCCCUGGGCCACCCUUAGAGGUGUUAGAGAUCAGGAUAUGUAAUUUUGUAUUUACCGUCUAUCUUUUUGUCCCCUACUUGUUUGCCCUUUCUCAGUCUCACAGGGACUCCCUCUGCAUCCCUGACUUCUUCCUCUAACGGUCACUAUAACUCUGUUCUGCACUCAUCUGCCUGCUUGCCUGGCUUACUUAAUAGUUUACAAGCUCUUUGAGUCCAGGGAUCAUGCCAUAUUCAGCUUUGUAUCUUCCCCCUCAAGAUGUAGUCUUGCUCUGUCGCCCAGACUGGAGUGCAGUGGUGCAAUCUUGGCUCACUGCAAUCUCCGCCUCCUGGGUUCAAACAAUUCUCCUGCCUCAGCCUCCCAAGUAGCUAUAGGUGCACACCACCACACCCAGCUAAUUUUUGUAUUUUUAAUGGAGAUGGGAUUUCACCAUGUUGGCCAGGCUGGUCUCGAACUCCUGACCUCAAGUGAUCCACCCGCCUUGGCCUCUCAAAGUGCUGGGAUUACAGGAGUGAAGCACUGCGCCUGGCCUUCACUUUAUAUUCUAAGCAAGCAACAUGGAGCCUAGAAUUAUGCUUCAAUACAUUUUCUUACAUGAAUAAAUAAAGUAAAAUCAAUAGAACUAUGGUUCAAGCACUAUUUUUUAAGCCCUUUGCCUGUAUGUAUUCAUGCAAUGCACUGCAAGAGUUCUAUUAUUGUCCCUGCUUACUUGUAUAUGAGAUGGAGGGCACUGGUGACUGGAGACUUUCUGUCUCUAGAGCUGUGGCUGUUGAAAGCUAAUACCUCCCCAGUGGGUAAUGAGGGUGGGAAUGGUCCCAGCCCCAUACAGGGAGGGCAAUAUAUGAGCACAAUCAGGGUCUAUAUAGAGAUUUUCCCUCUGCUAACCCCUGCCCAGACUAACCCUCAUGACUCAAGCUAUAGUGCAUAGGGGUGUUUCUGAUCUGUCCAGAUUCUUGGCCAUCUGGUUCACCAGGCUGGACUAUCUGCACACCAUGUGAUUGGGUCUGUACAAACAGGAUGCUGGCAUUCCAGCACUCUUCAGGCUUUUGUCUGGAAAACUGUUGCUUAUUUUCCACUCUUACUCUCUUUCUAUGUUUUCUUGGCUCCCCUCAGGCCCUCUUGGCUAUGUUUUCAACUCUAACUCCUCCAGCCACUUCAAUUUUUGCAGCAGUGGUUGACUUCCCUGGGUGACCCCACUUCACACAGCCAGCACUCACCCUGGGCUCUUCUCCCCUUUCAGCUUUUGGCAAAUCUCCUGCCUGACCAAAUGCCAACUUGAGUUCCAAUUUCCAGUGUGACACAGCCUCUAAGGCAGGUGUGGGAUUCCCCCAGAAUUUAUGACAUAGCUCUGCAGAGAAGUUGUAUGAUGGAUUAUACAUCUCUAGUUCCGGAGUAGAAGUGGGAGAGGGUGGUUAUCAGAUUGAGGCUUAUCUCCCCAGCCUACCCUGCCAGCAUUCUUUGUGGUUCCCCAAAACAUCCAUUCACCCUUAUUUCUGGGUUAUUGCACACCCCAGGCCCACUGCCUGUGAAACUUUCUCAACUGCACGCUCUACCCUUCACCUUGACUCCUGCUCAUCCUGUGAGCCUCAGUUUUGAUGCUCCUUCCUUAAGAAGAAGCCUGUGCUUUUACAUCCCCUGAGCCCUGGAGGCCUGGUUCAUGUAGGUGCUUUUUCUUUUUUCUCCUUUGUCACCAAGUAAAUCUCCAUCAUCAUCGUACUAGCCCAUGUUCACAGAAUGCUUCUUUGCACAGGCACAUUGCUAGAGCUGUACAAGAAUUAGCUCAAUUCAUCCUCCACAACCACCCUGAGAAAGAUACUAUUUUUAUUUCUGUUUUACAGAUGAGGACAUCUGGCACAAGGAAGUUACAGAAUGUGUCUAAGACUGCACAGUUAGCGGUGUAGUCAGGUUUUGAACCCAGACUGGCUGGCUCUAAAGCCACAGGGCAUAGCUGUCCUUGACUGCCACUUGCGAUAGGCAUUUGUCACACUGCAUUGCACUGUCUAGUUACUCCUGUCCUAUUCAUAGCUGUGAGCUCAAAUCUUUACGUUUGUCUAUAACUAGAAUUCAGGCAUUUGUUUCAGCAUAAAGCUCAAAUCUGGGCAACAAUUAAACUCAAUGAAUACUUUUGGUGAAAUAAAUGCCUGAAUUCUAGUUACAGAUAUUCUGUGUCUCAGAAAGUCAAGUGAUUCAUUCUUGAUUUUGUGAGAUGAAAUCUGACUAACAAAAGGAUGGCCAGUUGGGCACAGUGGUUCAUGCCUAUAAUCCCAGCACUUUAGGAGUCUGGGGUUGGCGGAUCACCUGAGGUCAGCAGUUCAAGACCAGCCUGACCAACAUGAUAAAGCCCCAUCUCUACUAAAAAUGCAAAACUUAACCAAGCAUGGUGGCAGCCUAUAGUCGCAGCUACUUGGGAGGCUAAGGCAUGAGAAUUACUUGAACCUGGGAGGUGGAAGUUGCAGUGAGCUGACAUUGUGCCACUAUAUUCUAGCCUGGGCAACAAAGUGAGACUCUGACACACACACACACACACACACACACACACACACACACACACACACACUCUGAUGGCCAAUCAGCUGGUGAGUCCUCUUUGGAUUCCUUAAUGAUUUCUGUAUUAAUUCAUCAU